AUUGAACGCUGGCGGCAGGCCUAACACAUGCAAGUCGAGCGAGCGGCGGACGGGUGAGUAAUGUCUGGGAAACUGCCUGAUGGAGGGGGAUAACUCCUGGAAACGGUAGCUAAUACCGCAUACCAUACGAAGUGACCAGAUGGGAUUAGCUAGUAGGUGGGGUAACGGCUCACCUAGGCGACGAUCCCUCGCUGGUCUGAGAGGAUGACCAGCCACACUUGAACUGAGCCACGGUCCAGACUCCUACGGGAGGCAGCAGGGGGGAAUAUUGCACAAUGGGCGCAAGCCUGAUGCAGCCAUGCCGCGUGGGUGAAGAAGGCCUUCGGGUUGUACAGCACUUUCAGCGGGGAGGCGUUACCCGCAGAAGAAGCACCGGCUAACUCCGUGCCAGCAGCCGCGGUAAUAC
rnacentral:rRNA from 1 species